AAAAUUCCUACUUUCUUCCACCACACCCGGUGUCAGAGAUUGGCUUGCUGCUCAACAGCUUUUCCAACAGGACCGGCCGGAAAUAAUGGGUACCUUGGCAGCCCUCUGGGCUUCGUUUGUUUUGAAGUCGCCACUACACCCUGGCCAAAUUUUGGACACAACUGGAAACCUGGCUAUAUUACCAAGGCUUUGACUGGAACAUCAUAUUUAAAAAAAAAAAUACAGGCUUGGAUAUAACACGACAGCUUUUGAGGAAUGAAGGUUGACAUUCUUGAAUAAAGCCACUUGGAAAUAUUGGCCUGGUACUGUGCUUAUGGGUUCUGUAACCUGGUAAGGUUGAGCAAAGAAUAUCGCUCCCUCUGACAAGUAUCAGGAACCUCAAUAUUUUGGAGAACCUCAUGAAGAGAAGGAUUCACCCAAAUCUGCAGGUACUAUAGGCAGAAUGUGAUAACAAGUCCUUUACUUGGCUUUCCUUGAGAGGCCUUUAAGGAUCAACCUGAGAUUCCUUAUGAGGUUCCAGCAAAGCAGAUUUA